AUACGGAGGAUCCAAGCGUUAUCCGGAAUCAUUGGGUUUAAAGGGUCCGUAGGUGGAUAAUUAAGUCAGAGGUGAAAUCCUGCAGCUCAACUGUAGCAUUGCCUUUGAUACUGGUUAUCUUGAGUUAUUAUGAAGUAGUUAGAAUAUGUAGUGUAGCGGUGAAAUGCAUAGAUAUUACAUAGAAUACCGAUUGCGAAGGCAGAUUACUAAUAAUAUACUGACACUGAGGGACGAAAGCGUGGGGAGCGAACAGGAUUAGAAACCCUAGUAGUCC
rnacentral:rRNA from 1 species